AAUAACCGGAUUUUUUAUAAUUAAUCAAAAGCAAGGAACAUGAUCAUUUCAUUCUUUACCUUUCAUGAUGAUUGUCGAUUAGAGCACUAUGAAUUGUUGCCGACACUCGAUCGACCGACAGCAGAAACUUAAUUCCUUUCCUCUCUAUUUCUCUCUCGUUCUCUCUCUCGUUUCCUCUCGUCACAGUCGAAGAAACAAAACAGAGCUUUGUUCAUCGUGCUGCACCGUCCACCACAGACCACCAAACAACCUCAGACCACCUUCCACGGCUUCGCCUCGACCUUGCGCAGCUACCGGAGGUAACCUUGCGCGGCGGCACGGCCGGCAGCGACGGCGGCGACCCCGAGUCCGGUUUAGCUCGUUUUCGUUCCAAACUCGAUAUCUCGAGCUACAGAGCACCAUUUCACUUGAUUCUUGGCUCAUUGAGCUCGCCUCAUCUUCCUAUACAAGCACCAAGAAGGAUCGGAACUGGAUUGAACGUUUUCACGUUCGUCGGAGCUCGACCCGUGCGGAUCGAACAACCAACCUUCGGAUCAAGAUAUCUCGAGCUAUACACGAUCGUUUCUUGUGAUUCUUGGCUUGUUGAGUUCAUAAGGAAGUUCUGAACAAUUCUCUAGAAGGAAUCGAAGCCUGAAAUUGAAGUUUUGACGUCGAAAUCAAGCCUUGCCGGAUUCUGCAAAAUUCUGGAAUUUUUCCGACCACCGAAGCUUUCGAUCGGUAUAUCUCGAGCUACAGACCAUAUUUUUCUGUGAUUCUUGAACCAGUGAGUUCUUCUUGAGUUUCUUAACAACUCUUCAGAAGGAAUCGAAGCCUUAAAUUGACGUUUUUACGUCGAAUUGGAGCUCGCCGUUUUCUGCAGUUUCUCGCCGGUUUCUGGAAAAUUCCGGCCACCUUCAUACUGUUCAAGGUGGUUGAUGGAUUGAUUGGUGAACGAUUUCGGAUCGUUGUUUUGAGCUGUUAAGAAGACGCAGCGGGAAUUUAGAGCGGGUAAUCCUACAGGACAGGAGAACCAGGACGGUGAUCGUGCGGUUAGAGCAAUGGUUAUAGUUUUACAGCAAUUGUAAUAGUGAGGCGAGUUAAGCUCAUUUGAGCAUUACAAUUUGAUUUGGUGGGAGUGUGCUGUAAUAAAUAACUUGAGGAUUUGGGUUAUUGUAAAUUUGAGAGUUGUGAAGUGUGGUUGUUUGUGAGAAAAAAAUUCAGGAUGUUAGUUGUAAUUUGUUAUUAUUCAUGUUUCGGAUUUGAAUUGAUUAUUCAAAAUUCGGGGCGUGACAGU